GAAAUUUGUUAGCCAUUGUAGAAUAUCUAAAGAGCGAAAUCCAACACAAUAAUUAAUCUUUUUCUGCGGCAUUUUGUGAUAAAGUCAAAGUAGUGUUGGUAAAAAGAACCGAUGCACAUGGGUGUAGCCAGGUAUACCAAGGGCAAGCAGCAGACUGAUGGCAAAACUUUAUUAAAACUUAUUGGCAGAUCCUUGCUUAGAGCUUAUGUAAGUGUGAGGUAAUCCAGCCCAGGUGUGCACAACAAAGGGGGU